rnacentral:rRNA from 1 species
GUGAGGAAUUUUCGGCAAUGGGCGCAAGCCUGACCGAGCAACGCCGCGUGCAGGAAGAAGGUCUUCGGAUUGUAAACUGCUUUUCUCGGGGAAGAAUUGAUGACGGUACCAGAGGAAGAAGCCCCGGCUGACUACGUGCCAGCAGCCGCGGUAAUACGUAGGGGGCGAGCGUUGUCCGGAGUUACUGGGCGUAAAGCGCACGUAGGCGGUCUGUUAAGUUCACGGUGACAGUCAUCAGCUUAACUGGUGAAGUGUCUUGAAAACUGACGGACUUGAGGGCCAGAGAGGGACCUGGAAUUCCGGGUGGAGCAGUGAAAUGCGUAGAUAUCCGGAGGAACACCGAAGGCGAAGGCAAGGUCCUGGCUGGCACCUGACGCUCAGGGGCGAAAGCUAGGGGAGCGAACGGGAUUAGAAACCCUAGUAGUCC